UAGGUCCGUAGCUCAAAUGGCUAGAGCACCGGACUCCAAAUCCGGCGGUUGCGGGUUCGAGUCCUGCCGGGCCUGCCCA
rnacentral:tRNA from 1 species